rnacentral:rRNA from 1 species
UACGGAGGGGGCUAGCGUUGUUCGGAAUUACUGGGCGUAAAGCGCGCGUAGGCGGCCAACUAAGUCAGACGUGAAAUCCCUCGGCUUAACCGGGGAACUGCGUCUGAUACUGGAUGGCUUGAAUCCGGGAGAGGGAUGCGGAAUUCCAGGUGUAGCGGUGAAAUGCGUAGAUAUCUGGAGGAACACCGGUGGCGAAGGCGGCAUCCUGGACCGGCAUUGACGCUGAGGAGCGAAAGCCAGGGGAGCAAACGGG